CUUAGCUCAGUUGGUAGAGCAGUAGACUCUUAAUCUAUUUGUCCAGGGUUCGAGUCCCUGA
rnacentral:tRNA from 3 species